GGCUGGGUGGCGGAAUCGGCAGACGCAGGGGACUUAAAAUCCCUUGGGGGGAAACCUCCGUGCGGGUUCAAGUCCCGCCCCAGCCACCA
rnacentral:tRNA from 1 species